CUCCCAUACAGAACACACCUCUCUCAACAUCUGAAAACACCAUACUCACUUCAUACACUCAAGCAUUCGUAGCCUUCAUAGCAUCCUUGUAAACACUUCUUUAUAAUCACUUUCUUGUAAACAACUAUCUCUGUAAAUAUUCCAUAUAUCAAUAAAAGUUCAAGUGUACAUAUUCAAGCAAUCUCCAAGUCUUAAGUAAGUUUUCUUU
rnacentral:lncRNA from 1 species